CUAGUUGGGUGGUUUGAAAAUUGGGGUUUUCAUUGAUGUUUCAGUUCUUCUGAUUUUUUUUAAUUUUUUUAUUUUUACCUACCGAAACUGAAAUAUGUGAUUUACAAUGGUGUUUAGUCCAUAAAAUUUUCACAAUAUACUUUUACGAAUCAAAUAAUAUAUACCUUAAGCAAUCUUAGGUUUGGAAAAAAGUAAUUGUUUCAGCCCAGACUUACUUAGAAACCAAAACUAAAUAUUUAAAACUAGACAAGCUCAUUAUGCACAUUAACAAACUCAAAACCAUCCUCAACAUCUAGUAGCUUAUGGCCCAGCGAAAGCGUGGUCCCUUUGUCUCUGUGCAAUUGAUGUCAUGAUGGAGAAACAUUGUUACUGGUGUUAUUUGAAUGUUGCCCAAUUUUUAUUUCUUACUUCUAAUGUUAUAACUGUUUCCAUAGAAUUUUGAUUUUUUUUUUCUUUCUAAUGCUUGUAGGAAAAUAUCAAUUGUCUGCUCGGCUAGAGGCAACUACUUCUUUGCUAGAAUUCUUUUCAUUUCCUCUGUAGGUGGGAGCAAAAGAUCCCUCUAUUGGUGCUUCAUAUUAUUAUAAUGAAAGUAAAGGAAAGAGUCAAUGGGAAAGACCUGUAGAAACAUCUUCGAGUACUCAUUUCCCAUUCGCUACAAGACACGUGGAAGAUUGGGUGGAAGCAGGAGAUGAAACAACAGUCAACUGCAUCAGAAAGUAGCCUUUUCGAUCAUUUGAUAAAUUGCUGGGAAUUCAAUCUUGGAGCAGUCCAAGGAACGUUCAGCCUUUACUUCCUUGUGAACUUUAAGUUCCAGUCACUACUCUAUGGGUAGGUAAUGUCCUGAUAGGCCUUUGUAGGAUGCUCUAUUGACAAAAUUACGAACUUACCAAAGAUAAAAGAAUAUCCAUUAUUAACUAUUAUCUCUUACAACCCUGAAGUUAUAUAUAUUAUCAAAUUGGUUUAUUUUAUUUGAA